CAUGCUUAGUUUACAGUAUCCACAAGAAAUUUAUUUGAAUCGAUCCCACUGUACUCUCCUUAACUAUGUUUGCUGAAAUUCCUAUCUAUUGUGUUGCUGUUAUUGAGGAAAUUUUAUUUGAAUGAAUAAUAUCCAGCUUUCAAUUAAGGCAGGCCAAGGAUUGAUACCUAAGAGCAUGCAAUGGUACAGACCUUGCUGCGUGCUCUUCGGUUGACAUCCAAGUAAGGAACAGCCUGGAAGGAGCGCAACUAUCUACAUCCGUAGUUCUGUUAGAUCAUUCGAUUUAUUUUGAUCAGAACAGUACAGCUCUUGUUCCUUGCACGCAAGGGUCCUGAUUGCUCAAAAUCAACAACUCCAUUCGCGAACACAAAUAGCAGGCGACGCGAUACUGCCCUGAAGAAUUCCUACCGUUUGUCACUUUCACACCAUUCGCUCCCGAACACUCUCUCUUCUACUCUCCUUCUCUCUCUGAUCGGCUCAGUCUCCGAACGGCUCAGGCAGGCCGAUCGUCUCCGAUCACUCUGAACUGAAAACAUUUUUUCUCUGAUGCGCUGCGUUAGACUCAUUGAUUCGGGUUGCCUAAAAUCAAUGUUAUCAAUCAAAUUGUGCAUUUAUUUUGAUUUCAUAACAUUAUUGACACCAUUCAAAGAAACUUCCACCAAGAAAAAAUCAAAUUGAUGGCAAACUGAGGGCGUGAAGACAAAAAGACUGCCGCGCUGGCAUUUUGUGAGAAUGGCUCUUAUCUGAGCAUGUUAGUGUAUAAGUGUCGUCGAGCGACGGAGUGGGCCAAUGUUUUCACUAUGUAUUUUUUCGCUGAGUGAACAGUUCGAGCCACUCGCUGGCUGCUUGCGAGUCUCAUUCGCUCAUGAUUGCAAGCGGGUUAGAAUAGGCGACGAAUGGAUAGACGAUGAGUGAGUGGUUUCUGUUCAUUGAAGCGAGAAUCAGGACCCUUGCUUGCAAGUGUCCUAUUUUCUUACCUCCACGUUGACUUGGUUUAGUCAUCAUGAUGACAAGUUGUAACCUAGCUGGUGGCCUGUGGAAACUGCUCGUAAUUCUUUAGCCACCACGGGUCAGAGUCGAGACAGCUAAAAGAAAGGGGCGCGACAAUGUGGGAAAGGGAAGUAAUUUGUGAUUGUUUUGAUUCGCAGUAUGUUGAGUCAACUGGAUGUACCUGAAACAUUACAGAACGGAGUUUCUCUUCUUUCCAUUUUUAUCUACCAUCUAUUUUAAUUUUGUUUUACUGAUUUUCUUAAACGGCAUCUGAUUAUUAUCCACCAUUUUAUUUUGAUUUUAUCAACCUUUGGUUAUCUUAUGUAUAAAAAAAAACAAAAAAAUUAUAAUUCCAGCUGUCAAACUGAAAAUUUCUAUCUAUUUUUGUUCCAAGAGAUAAGUUCGGUUGAUUCAAAAUAAGAAAAACUCCGGUUAAGUUGCAUUAAAAAAAAUACGUUUGAAUCAACAGCAAAAUGUUUUUAUACUAAACAAUGUUUCGAGUUUAUGUUUACAAAAUAUUAAAAUUGUUUCGCCUUUUGAAAAAAAAAACGAAAUUAAGUUUAUGAUUAUUGCAAUUUUUCGUUUCAACCUGAAAGAAUCUUCUUUUAAAUUUAAUGAUGCAUUUCUAUUUCCACCUAACGGCUAGAGCUGUUGUUUCUGGAUCAAAAUUUCAGCGAUGGCCUAUACAUGUCUGGGUACCAAAAGUUGCGUCUUUUAAAUACAAAAAAUUUGGUACCCAAACAUCUAUAGGUCAUUGCUGAAAUUUUAAAGUUAUUGUGGUUUUAGUGAAAAAAGUUGAUUUUUUGCCAAUUUCGUCAUUCUCCGGUUUUUGCGCGCGGUGCGUCAAAAAACCCGGAUUUUAUUUUCAAAAAAUCAUAUCUCGGAAUCCUGUUAAUGAACUCCUCCCAUUUUUUGGUAUGUUACGUAAAAAUGUCCGGGGAAUCCGAUAACAAUAUUUCCAGACAUAGGCUCUUUGGUCCAGACACCGUCAAAACGGCAUUUUAAAGUUUCAUACGCCCUUUUCAUAUGUUAGGCUAAAUUUUUGAAACAACUUAUAACCUUUCAUUUGCGUAUAAGUCAAUUGAAAUCGGAUAAAAUGGCGAGGAGUUAUGAUUUUUCGAAAAAAGUGGUUUUUGCGAAAAUCGACGAAAAUGGCCAUUUUUCAGACCACCCUUACACGGCGUAGGUCACCCUAAUGGCCAAACAAAAAAAUACGGGUCUAAUUAUUUCGGCCAGGGAACUCCCAGAAAAAUUUUGAGCCCGAUCAGAGCACUUUUGUUUUUUUCCAUGCUGUUUUCGUGAGGAAUUGCUGUAUCUAUAUCUUUUAAACUACUGUCUAUUUUUACAUCUACUUACUACAUAAAGCUUUUACUUGUAAUUCUUAAACAUACCAUUAUUAUCUUUCUUUUACUGUUGAUUCUUUAUGCAGUUCAUUUUCCUUUACUAUCUAAAAUUUUUACCCUUUUCUUCAAAAAAUAGGAAAAUAGCAAAACUUUUGGACGGUGCCAAAAAAGAACGGGUGGUUCAUUUUGGUUCAAAAUCGGGAUUAUUACAUGUUUUGAUAGUAGUAAUAGCUCCACCAAAUUUGAGCUUAAUCAGAGAAAGUCCAUUUCAAAGUGUGCAAGUUGGCGCGACAUUACUUGUGACAUUAUUUCACCACUAAUCUAAUCUAAUCAGACCCUAGCGCAGCCCUGGAGAGUGCCUUAGGUUAGAUGACGCCUAGCACUCUUCUUGUCAUUUAUUAACAUUUGUAGUGCGCCAUUGCAUUGAAAUGCAUUGAAACAUCACAAGCGUUAAAGCGGCCAGGCCUACUGCGUAGAGCCGUAUCGUAGAGAUGACUUGUAAUUGGGUUGAGUUUGAGCACUGAGUGUUCGAACAACAACACAAUUCUGAAUCGACAGGGGAGGAAGAAGCGUGGGGACACACCACCAUACGCUGUAACAGUUAAUUCCGCGAGAAGAAAAACUCCGCCCAGACCCUAGCGAAGACGCAGAACACGCGAGUUCCCAACUGCUCGAAUUCGCUUGAUCUGGGCGGGUCGCACUGGUUUGCCUCCCGAAGAUGAGACGAUGAUGAUUAGGAUGAGAUAUUAUUUCAUCAGUUCGAUGACGCAAAAAGUGAUUUCCGCUGAUGAGCCCUUCUAUCCCUUUGUCCACCCACCUUUCCUCCUAGCUCCCCGAACCUUAAAUAGCCAUAAGCCGUUCAUAUACGCAGCAAGCAAGUCGCAAGUUUAGUUUUACCCCCGAUCACCGUCGUCGCGAGUAAGGAGUGUACGAGAAAGUACGAAGAGAAGUGUAAAGUGUUCUAAUCGACAGAGGAAGAUCUGGACGAUUAAUAAGCCAAACGUAAGUUUGUACUCGCUAGGUGUUCGCGAUCUAAUCCGCUUCCCCACCUCAGGCCCCGAAUCGUCCCUGGUUCGCCGCGUGCUACGGCACGGUCAAAAGCGUGAUUAAGCCAAAACUAUCGUGCGGACGUCACCAUCGCACUGAACCAGCAAGUCGCCGUCGGCGACUUCGCCGCUGUUAGGGCAUAUCCAAGCAGUUUCGUUAUUAGACGGUGAUCGAAAGUGAGAAAGAUUGUAAAGUUCUCCCCAGAAGCCAACUAAGAAGAAGGUAACUUGCGACCAGGUAGAAUUGCGGUUAAGUAAGUGCUAAGAUAACCCUCUCAUUCAAAGGUUGACGUGCGGGGCUCAAAGAGCGCGGCGCGCACGCGCACGUGGCAACGCGAUAAUUUCGCACCCGGGCUGACUAAGCCCGCGCACAGCACGUGCCGGCAAGUACGACUCGUGCCAUCAGCUUCCAGCAACCUGACCACGUGUAGCGCUACUAACAGCAUCGAUUAAGCCCCCCGCGAGGUCAAGGCAAUAACGCGUCGUUCACGCGUGCAGCGCCGGUUCCCGUAGGAGUCCACAUUGCCGACUCUGAGCCAAAGGGCCACGGCGCACGUGAGUUUUGCUCUCCGUAGGAGGCCGAGCCAAACCCUCUGAGCAAAAGGAAGCAACGACUCGCACGAACGGCAACAGCGUUACCCUUAACCACCUCGCCAAGCAACGUCAACGCGCACGAUCGAAACGGCCAGACAGCCGCCGGCCAAGGCCCGCGAUACGUGAUCGCCUCGUGAAGGAAUCGUUUCUCUGCCAGCUGUACGUGAAGUACCAUUGGGUCCAGCGCGUCGUCACACGUGCCUGGCGUCAGACCUGUAGGAGUCCACGCCACCGGCUCUGAGCAAAAGGGUCUCGACGCAAUUGAGCACAUCUCUCCGUAGGGGCCCCUGUCAACCGCCCUGAGCAACUGGAAUUUGUAGCUCGCACGACGACAACAGCGCUCGACACAUUCACUUCAACCUGAGCGCAACCUUCGGUCCAGUGCCACCCUUUCGUUCCCCAAGUGUCCUGCGUUGAAUCCCGUAGGAGUGCACCGUCCGCACCUCCGAGCAAUUGGGAGCAGCGCGCCAAGAUUCUGCCACCUGUAGGGCCCACCCGCAACCGGGCCCGAGUCAUUGGGUAGCAGCGAUCGACAAGAACGAAGUACGUGGGUAUACAACACGAUCGACGGUUCAACUAGGCAGCAGCACAAGCUACACCGCGCUCGACGAGCGCGCCAAACCAGCCCGCCACUCAGGCGUGGGCGUAUCAACUAAGCCACGAACGAUUCCACGAGCAGCAAACCGUCCACGGGACGGCAUUCCGGACCUGCCGGCCAAGCCGGCGAAGGCGGCCCUGCAGAGUACGAGGAGCAGAAGCACCGAACAGCAGAGCGAGAAUCAACGCGCGAGCAGCAGCGACCGCCGCAGACCAGCCAGGACACCGACGUAACCUAGGUUACCACCACAAGGUCAGAUCUUUCCUUUAUGUGUACACAUAACUAACCAUUCAUGCGCAUUAGUAUUAAGGCCCCUUGUAUUUAAUAAAUAAGUCGGAAGAAAAGUAAGCUCUGAGUCAAGGUGUCCAAUUUGUAAGCGUGGACUGAGCUGACUUAUGACUAUUUCCCUCCCCUAAUCUCUUAUCCUUUCAUGGCAAUAAAUUAGUAUGGACUUAACCACUUGUUUUCGUCAGAUCUGAGUUAAAUUGAGUUGGAUCGCUUCCAGUCAGACCCGCCCUGAGCGAGCUAGUCCGGGCAGGCUUCAUCUCGCGACUUCGUACGCGUCCCUGCUAGGGUCGCGUUGGCGCUUAAGCGAAGUGCGUUUCAUUCUUACAGUUCGAUAAGGGUCGCGGUCAAGCCGACCUUGUAGCAUAAUUGUUCCAUUCAGUUUCGUAUCGUUGGUUUCGUUAGUUUCGAUUAUCUGGGACAAAUCUUGUUACAACGCUCCGAGAUUUUGGUUGUAUUCGUUGGGAGCACCAUGCUUAGAAGGUUUGGUACUCCGGGACCCUCAGGGAUGGGACAUUGUAUUUCCACGAAUGCCCUGGAUACUAUUUGCCGUGGUGAUAGCGCCACAACUCGCUCUCUGUAACAGUAUUCCUAAUUCCAGUCCACGCUCACCAAGUCGUCAUGGCCUAGUGGUUAGCAUUUUUGCUUACCAAUCCAAAUGACGGAGGAUCGAACGACUUUGAUUUUUCGUUCAUAUUCACCUUUUCAAAUUUACGUGUUCUUAACAUUCUCGUUGGGAGCAGAUGGGAAUUGAACCCAGAACCAUUCGCUUACAAAGCGAUCACCGUAACCAGUCAGCCACGGCCGCUCCUCCUUGUGACAUUAUUUCACCACUACGGAUUAAUUCAUUCUUUGAGUACAAACUCCUCGGUGGCAGAGUGGUUAGAGCAUCUGAUAACCCAUACAAAGGUGUAAGUUCGAAUCCCACCUGAUUAUAUACGUUUUUUUUUGUUCAUAUUCAAAGUUCAGUUACAGUCGAAAAAAUUCAAAGAUACUCGUCGGGGCCGUAGCCGUUAAGACACGGGCCGGUUGCGUAAAAAAUGUCAUUUUGUGAAGCUAAUGACUUCUUAGCAAAAAAUCAUUAAAAUACGGUGUCUCCGAGAAAGUUUUUCCAAAUUUAAUGAUAAUCGCAGUUCUUAGAACUUGUAAAAAUUGUAUAGUUUCUCAGUCCCCCCCCCCCCCUCCCGUUGUUGACAAUUUUCAUACAAAACAAAUAUUUUUUGUAUGGAGCGUGGACAAUCGCUGACCCACCUUUGAUUUUAUGUCAUUUUCAGUUUUUUAACUGAAUAAAUGGAGGUGCACGGUACUUUUGGUUACUUUGCGGCUGCACAACACCUCCCAAAUGCUUUUAAAUGCAAUGGAUACUGAUCAAAGGGGUCGUCCAUUAAAUAUUUCACAAUAUGACGAAUUUUAGGUAGUGCGAUUCUACUGCAAAAUAAGUUCAAUGUGUUUUUACUGGAUAAGGUACAAAAAAAGCAUUAUUAAUAUGAAACAUUUGAAAAAUCAGGCUCAAAUAAAAAAAAUCGCUCUACAGUAUUGCCUUGGCGUUCUCGAUUGCGAGAUUCCUACUAGAAACUAGGUGUCGGGAGGCUUGAUUGUUGAGGCAAUUGCAAACCUCUUUUUACACCUUAGCUUCCAUCCACCCCAGGAUUCAAACUGACGACCUUUAGAUUGUUAGUCCAACUGCCUACCAGCGACUCCACCGAGGCAGGACCCAGGGAGACGACUCCUACACCUGGACUGAGCUAUCGACCUAACCUCUAGGUUAGACCGGGGCCAACAUUUACUUCCCCGUCCGACGGAAGGCGUGAUCAGACAAACCUCGUCUCGAAAAAUGCCACCGGGACCUUCUGGGAUCGAACCCAGGCCGACUGAGUGAGAGGCAAAUAUUUACAAAAAACUAAUUCGAUGUUUCGAUUUCGAUAUAGGUGGCCAGCGUGACAAUUUGUGGCAUAGGGGGAAAGGGGUCAAUUUUUGCUGAUUUUAGUGUGCCAUACUGUAUGGAUGACGCCUCAUAUACUAAAAAUAAUGUUAUUAUCUUUGUUAAAUAAUUAAGGGGGAUUAAGGGGGAGGCGGUGUUGUAAGUGUGGUUGGAGCCUUAAAUAUUUAAUGGACGACCCAUUUGAUCAGUAUCCAUUGCAUUUAAAAGCAUUUGGGAGGAGUUGUGCAGCCGCAAAGUAACCAAAAGUACCGUGCGCCUCAAUUUAUACAGUUAAAAAACUGAAAAUGACAAAAAGUCGAAAAUCCCUUGGUGAAAUAUUUUCUAGGUCACAGAUAUCGAAAAGGGAUCACACCCUUAGCUACCUUUCCACAAAAAAAUAUUUUAGGUACAUUCAAUUUCAAUAAUAAUUGCCUUCCGCCAUGGCGUGUGUCGUACCGUUCCGUUCAAAUGUUGCUCCAGAUUUCUACUUUUGUUGACCUGUAGGGUCCUUCGGAAGGCGCAAGUAUUGACGAAUAAGGAUGAUUGGCUCUCACUAAUCAUUAUUGAGUCAUUGUUAAACUUCAACUGAUGCGUCAAUAACGGGGUAGUAACUAAUUUGAAUUGUCAGAAUUGUUUCUCAAAUUUGUUUUGAAAUUUAGAAAACUUGAAAAACAUAUUUUUAAAGCUUCUAAGUUUUUGUAGCUUUUUUAUAUUUCAAAAUUUUAUAAUAUUAAACAAUUAAAAAAUUAAACUUUUUCAAUUUUAGAUAUUUGUUUAUCAAAUCUUAAUUUUUAUGUUUUGAAAUUGUUGAAUUUUUUUAAAGCUUCAACAUUUAAAUGUAAUUUUUUAAUUUUUGGAUGUUUGUUGAAGGGUUAAUUUAUUGUAAUUUUUAGAAUGUUGUUGAACGCUUUAUUUAUUUAGCGCUUUGUAAGAGAGAAAUAUGAAACUGAUGGUUUGAUUACGAUCGGUGUUAAACCACCGGGGUUUUAGAAUAUUAGUAUUUUUUAACAACAUUUCAAAAUAGUUUUUUCGAAAAAAAAACUAAGUAUUAGAAAAUACCAUUUUUUUACAUAGAAAAUUAGUCGUCUAACGCCCAUGGUUGCUCCUGAUUGCUAUUUAAUUUGGACCUCUUAACAAAAUAUCUUGGAUAAACCAUCUUUAAAUAUUUGUUUCG